rnacentral:lncRNA from 1 species
AUGCCCAGCUCUGCCCCUCCCCUGCCCCCCUACCCCAUUCCCAGCCCAGACCCCCAACUACAGCCUCAGCCCCUUCCUACGGACUCUGAGCCCCCGACUCCGGCCGGGACCGGGACGCAGCCCCCUCCUCACGGACUGCGACCCCGACUCCAGCCGGGACCCUCGACUCCGACCCCCUCCUCACGGACCGCGACCCCCGACUCCAGCCGGGACCCUCGACUCCGACCCCCUCCUCACGGACCACGACCCCCGACUCCGGCCAGGACCCUCGACUCCGACCCCCUCCUCACGGACCGCGACCCCGACUCCAGCCGGGACCCUCGACUCCAGCCCCUUCCUCAAGGACCGCGACCCCGACUCCGGCCGGGACCCUCGACUCCAGCCCCUUCCUCAAGGACCGCGACCCCGACUCCGGCCGGGACCCUCGACUCCAGCCCCCUCCUCACGGACCGCGACCCCGACUCCGGCCGGGACCCUCGACUCCAGCCCCUUCCUCAAGGACCGCGACCCCGACUCCGGCCGGGACCCUCGACUCCGGCCCCCUCCUCACGGACCGCGACCCCGACUCCGGCCGGGACCCUCGACUCCGGCCCCUUCCUCAAGGACCGCGACCCCGACUCCGGCCGGGACCCUCGACUCCGACCCCCUCCUCACGGACCGCGACCCCGACUCCGGCCGGGACCCUCGACUCCGGCCCCCUCCUCACGGACCGCGACCCCGACUCCGGCCGGGACCCUCGACUCCGGCCCCUUCCUCAAGGACCGCGACCCCGACUCCAGCCGGGCCCCUCGACUCCAGCCCCUUCCUCACGGACCGCGACCCCGACUCCGGCCGGGACCCUCGACUCCGGCCCCUUCCUCAAGGACCGCGACCCCCGACUCCAGCCGGGCCCCUCGACUCCAGCCCCUUCCUCACGGACCGCGACCCCGACUCCGGCCGGGACCCUCGACUCCGACCCCCUCCUCACGGACCGCGACCCCGACUCCAGCCGGGACCCUCGACUCCGACCCCCUCCUCACGGACCGCGACCCCCGACUCCGGCCGGGACCCUCGACUCCGACCCCCUCCUCACGGACCGCGACCCCCGACUCCGGCCGGGACCCUCGACUCCGACCCCCUCCUCACGGACCGCGACCCCCGACUCCGGCCGGGACCCUCGACUCCGGCCCCUUCCUCACGGACCGCGACCCCCGACUCCAGCCGGGACCCUCGACUCCGGCCCCUUCCUCACGGACCGCGACCCCCGACUCCAGCCGGGCCCCUCGACUCCAGCCCCUUCCUCACGGACCGCGACCCCCAACUCGGUCCACAGCCAAACCGGAGCCGUUCCAGGGCGCCUGCCCCGGGCCGCCCAGGGCCGCCCUCCGCCCCGGCCACGCCCCUGCCCCCCGAGCCCGAGGCAGGGCCGCCGGACCCCGGCCCGGCCGGCGGCUGCACGCGCCCUUACCUGAGCUCUGGCCGCCGCGGCCGCCUCAGCCUCGCCGCGCAGCCGAACCCGCCGCCUAG